AAGUCGUAACAAGGUUUCCGUAGGUGAACCUGCGGAAGGAUCAUUAACGAGUAACUGAACAGGUUGUAGCUGGUCUUCUCUAGGAGGGCAUGUGCACGCCUGGCUCAUCCACUCUCCAACCUCUGUGCACUUAUUGUAGGUUUGGUGGAAAGGCAAGUCUUUUACAAGAUUUUGCUUGGAAGCCUUCCUAUGUUUUAUUACAAACGCCUCAGUUUAAGAAUGUAUCUCUGCGUAUAACGCAUCUAUAUACAACUUUCAGCAACGGAUCUCUUGGCUCUC
rnacentral:misc_RNA from 1 species